rnacentral:tRNA from 1 species
GAAGGUAUAGCUCAGUGGUGGAGUGCUGGCUUAGUAUGCACAAGGUCAUGGGUUCGAUCCCAAGUACCUCCA